rnacentral:rRNA from 1 species
UACGGAGGAUGCAAGCGUUAUCCGGAAUGAUUGGGCGUAAAGCGUCCGCAGGUGGCAUUGUAAGUCUACUGUCAAAGCGUCUGGCUCAACCAGAUAAAGGCAGUGGAAACUACAUAGCUAGAGUAAGGUAGGGGUAGAGGGAAUUCCUGGUGUAGCGGUGAAAUGCGUAGAGAUCAGGAAGAACACCGGUGGCGAAAGCGCUCUGCUGGACCUUAACUGACACUGAGGGACGAAAGCUAGGGGAGCGAAUGGG